CUCAGUACCUGAGGUGCAGUCACCUCUGUUUCCAUUUGAAGGAAAGGAUGAUGCUUAGACUUUCAUGCUACUGAUUCUCCCUGAAAGAGAGCAGUCAAAGGUCUGCAAUAUUGGUCUUUUAGAUGAUUGAAUGUCAACCUCAUCAAAUUGAAAUACAGGCUUUCUUGACCUCUGGCUAAUGUUGUUGACUUCAUUUAAAAUUCUGUCUUAAAAAAUGUAACAAUUCAAUGCUGUCUCCAUAGUGUUUCCUGUCAGCCUACCCAGAGUGAACUGGUGAAUAUGAAUAUGUUUUAUUUUGAUUAAGCUACCUCAAAAAAUGCCUUUCUUAUGGUGACCUUUUUUUUUUUUUUUUUUUUUUCUAGAAGACUCUAAUCUUUGUUCAGUCUGCUAUAUUGCAAGCAUUAGAGUUCAUUGCUAUUUCUGACACAGACUCGAAGUGAGGAAUUUCAGGAGGAUAUGUUCUAUGAUUGUUCCUGAAACCACAUCUCUUUUCUUUGAGAUUUGCCAUACUAGCAAGCGUUAGCCAUGAGCUAGACAGAAGGUUAAAGUUUUCAUUUUAAAUAUGAAAUGAAAGGAAUGUAACAGUAAUUAUGGACAGUUUCAGGCAUGCAGGAAACACAGAGAAGAAAGGAGUACCCACUGUUCCCAUAAUUAGAAGGAUGUGUCACUGAGGACAGGAUGCUCUGUACUAACUUGACCUCUCUGGGAGUGAGAUGGGUAGGUUCCUCUCUAGUCAAUGAACAGAAAUAUGUGCAGAAAUCUGGUCCAACCUUUCUCGGCAAAAGCAUGGUCUAGACGAGACUGUCCAGCACCCUGCCCAUCUGAAUCUUAAUAGCAUCCAACGUUGAGGAAUCGACCACUUGCCUGAGGAGAUUAUUCCAAUGGCUGAUUGUUUGCAAUGUGAAAAAUUUCCCUUUUCCCUCUUGUGUGCAAUUGGAAUCUACCCAGGAUAUUACCCAUCACUACUCAAGUGAGAUAACAAAUUGGGAAAAUUAUAAAUAAAAAAACAGGAAAACUAGAAUUAAACUAGGAGAAAAAGGAACCUUUCAAGAGUAAUAAAGUAAAAGUAAAGAUAAAACCUGAUUUGUAGCUACACAGCAGAUCAACAGACACAAAAGAUUUGGGAUGGAGGAAGGAGGUCACCAUUAAAGAUUAUUAUGUGCUUCAGGAAUAUGAAAAGUCCUCAAAUGACGGGGAAUAAUAGCCUGCAUUUGAGAGCAAAAGUGCAUGUUCUGCAAGAAGGAAGAUUUUAUGGCCUUGUAGUUAUACCAAAAUAUUUAGCAGAAAUUUAGUCAAAAGUGAUCUGACAAUAUCAUGAUGGGAUUUUGAGGAAUUUAAAAAAAAAACCCGUGAGACUGCAGAUAGGACUGAAUUUAACUAAUAAAGGAGGUUGGUUUUCUUUUAUUGUUCAAUUCUGAGAGCAAAGCCAGAAGUUGGACAACAAAACACAUCCAGUAGAAACUGCAGAUGGCAGAGGCAAUUUUGAAGGAAGAUUCAUAGUGAAGAAAUUCCUGAAGUGAAGAUUCAUAGUGAAGAAGUAGCGAUUUAUUCAAUGUACUGUGUUAAACAGAUUAGGAGCCAUGUCCUUGCCUCCCUACACUGGGCUGGAGACCUCAUUUUGUGGUUGAAGGGCGUGUGGAGAAGAUCAGCUGUGAUCCCAGAAGGAUUAGGGCAUGCAGAUAUCAUUAAAAGAAGCACAAUAUCAAUGUUUUCAGCUAUUCACGUUUACACAGACAAGCCUGGUAAAACAUCCUAUCAAAUCAACAUUUUAAAGUCCUGAGUGUUUAAUAGCAAGUUGUAAAGUCUAUCCACAUACCAAGGUGCAUUAGGAAGACCCAGCAGGCUAAGGUAAAUGUGGAAGAAAGGCAAAUGUAUUCUCUGAUGAAAUCACAUUCCUUCUCUGAGGAUAUCACACAGAUAUGCCAUGUGAAGGUCUGAGUUACUGAGUGCCUUGAAGAAACAAAGAUGAUAUGUGGUGUUACUUGUGAAACUUGAUAUUUGAAGUCUAACAUCCUGGAUUCAAGCUAUCAAGAAGGUCAAGAUAUUUCCUCCUGCUUCUCAUAAAGCCACAGAUUCAGGAGGUACAUCAGAAAAAAAGAUUUCAUUGAGCACCCUUGAUGAUACAAAUCUGUAUCUGCUUCUCAGCACUUCCUUAGAUUGUUGUUGUUUGAGAGGACUACGUCUGGUAAAGUGCGGAACUCAUGGACACAGUCAUCCUAAGGGAAGUGGUUACAGGAGAAAGCUCGAGUCAGCUGGAUUUGUAAAGGGCUAUAGAUGGCCGAUCCACCUCCUUUAAUGUAUUAAGGAACUGAAAAUAGAAGAGGGUACGCAGAGGUAGUAUUAUGAGAGGAUGACCCUGCUCAUCAACUGGAUUAGGGUAUCAAAUUUCUUGAUGCCCAGAUAUGAUUAUCUCUGGCCUGCAAAAUGUCACCCCUGCUAAUGAAGAAGUCCUUAACUUGUCUUGCAAAAACCACAUACCAAUGACUGUUUCUGCCAAAGUGAAUAAGAAGUGCUGUAAAAUGAGGAAGUAAGGGAGGAGAAUGGCAAGAGGUUAGGACUCUGUCCUGGCAGUACGAUGGAGUCAGAAGCAUUUCCAUAGGUCACAGAUAGAUGGUUGACAUCAAACUGUUGUAAACUGUCCUCAAGAAACUGUCUCAGUGGUUAGUAGUUGACAGUGAGCAGCCGCACUUGCUGUUUAAAACCAUAGACAAGUUUCUGGUUGACCACUGUCCUCAUACUCUUGUAAUCCACCUUCUUCAUCCUUUGGUUCUGUCGAACCAAGGAAUGUCGAGGUUGAGAAAUUUUUGUAGGUGAUGGCAAUGCAGAACCCUUUUGGUGGACUCUUCCCAGAAUCUAAUGAGAGUCAUGUUACUGAUAGAAUAAGGCGUAAGUAUAAUAUAUAGUAUCCAAACACUGUUGACUAACAAAGCACAAUGUAUAAGUAGAAUCACAUAAAAAUGAGCAAUUAAACACUGAGAAGUGGUGUAUGUAGAGCGACUUCACCCAUUAUGAUUGAUAGUGGUAGCUCUCAGUGGUGGGACAUAACAUGAAGGUGGGCUUUUCCUGUCAGCUUCGUGUAGCUUAUCUUCAGUGUCUUUGUACCUUCUGUCCAACCAGCACCAAAAGUCAGAGUACAGCAGAAGGCUUGGCAGGGUUCUGGGUUUGCUGCUGGAGACUUUAUGGCCAGUUUGUGCUGUCACUUGGACAUAAUGACAAAUGUGUGAUGAAUAGCAGGUCUGGUCCAUAGCUGGUAGUUUCAAGCCCAGGUCAAAUUGUUUAGUUUGGAGUUAGAGAGCUGCUACAGAAACUUCUUUUUGAAAUAUCUCAACAAGAUACCUAGAGACAUGCUGUCUGAAACCUGGAAAUCUGGGAGGGCCUUCAGGAGGAGGGAAAAAUUGUCUGAAUGCAGAGAACAGCCAGAAUUAAUCACCUGGGUUUUGUGCUUUCAGAAGCUUUCUGUACAUUACUUAGGCUGCUUCAUAGAUGUAGCAACUGGGCACCUAUUAGAAACAAUAAAUUAGAACUCAACUUUUAUAGGCUAAAGUGUGCAAUCCAGUUACUAGGCUUUUGGAAAGAAUUCUAGUCAGGGUUUCCUCCUUAUUUUGAUUCUGAAAACCACAUCUGGUGUAACUCUCUCUCCACUACUGUUCUACAUAUGGAGGCUUUAUAUGACCACUUUCUCAAACCUGUGACUUGAAGUGUUUCCUUUGGUUGCUGUACUAGAUUUACUGCAACAUAGGCUUGAACUUUGAAACCUGUUAAUCAGUAUAAUUAAUAAAGUAAGUUUUAUAGCCAAUAUAUUUUUCUACUGUGAAAGUCACUGUUGUGACUUUAAGAUAUUAAAGAUAAGACAUUAAACACAUGUAAGAUAACACAAGACAUUAAGCACAAGUAAGAUAAAGUUAGAUAUUAAACACAAGUAAGCAACUAGUUUCAUUGAUAUGUUAGUCUUCUUUUGAAACAGACCACAGAAUCACAACCAGUAUUUCUUCUAUACAUUCCACUCAGUUAGGUUCCAUAUCCCAGUUUGGAGACUGGACCACAAAUAAAAGGCUUAUCAGUUGAUUAAUAAACUGAACUACUGUAAGUCUGAUAAUUCAAAUUAUUUGAUCCCUGAUGGUAAAGAGCUUGUGGUCUCAAUCCAGAGUCCUAGUAGUGAGCAUUACUGUCCAAAGCCAUUUGCAAGACAGAAUCAUAGAAUCAUAGAAUCAUUUUGUUCAGAAAACACCUUUAAGAUCAUAGAGUCCAACCAUUAAGAUGCUAUCAUAGGAAUGAAAAAGGUUGUUACUAGUAAAUCUUCAUGAAUAAACAUUAGUUUGUUGAAACUGAAAAUUGUUAUUUGGCGAGUUCUGACUUAAGAAAUUAACCAUUUCACAUUUGCAUAAUGUUCAUUAUGGAAGAGUGUGGCGGUUAUAACAAAAUGAGGCAUGAGUCCCUGAUCCACUCAGUGCUAGAAGACACCUACAUCUAGCUUUCCCCAUCUAGGAUGACUUGUUGGUCUCCCAAUAACUAGUCCUGGAGGUCUUUCUCUUCUCCUCCAUUCCCUUCCACUUUUACUUACGCCACUUCUGUACUACAUUUGGUAACAUGCACUGAAAUUGAUGGAAUAAUUACCAAGCUCCUUGGGAAGACACUUAAGGUUUUUAUCCUGUUAACAUUAUUUGCUUUAUUUUCAUUUGGAAUAUUUUCCCUUUUAAGCUUUUUGGCGGUACAUCUUGGAAUAACUCCCAUCAUUUACUAAAGUGUGUAUUAGAUCAGGCCAUAAAUGAGCAAAAUGAAGAAUAUUUUCUGGAAUGCAACCUCUUUUUUAUGUAAGUGGUUAUAAAUAUUAUCACUCAUGAAAUACCAAUGUAAAGGAAUUAUUCCUGUGAUAUUACAAGCUUCUAAAUAAAGUUACAGUGUAAUGUUACUAUAGCUUUAAAAAUACUAAGCUUUAAAAAUAUAUUCUUAGGUAAAUAUUAUGAUCAGAAGCUAUGAGAUUAAAACUGUUUCACAUUGUAACCAUUAAACAGAUUCCUAAAGCAAACAAAAAAGACUAAACACAUUGAACUUUUUUGCUUGAAGUGUUUAUAAUUUCAUAGUCUGAACUGUUUUCAGGAUGGCAUGAUUAUGUUCUACACGUCCACUCCAAUUCUUUGUUUUAUCGUUAGUUAUAUCACAGUUUUGCUAGCAGUUCUGACAAAUUAUAUACUGAUGAUGUAGUUAGAUACAUAUAGAAUGAUCAAUAAAUAAAAAUAGUUUUGAACCUCAAAAAUAUACCAUUUUUUAAAAAAGCUAAUAAUACACCAGGACUUCAUUGUGCCUAUUGUAUGCAUGAUGUAAAAUGGAAAACCUAAAUAAACAUUGCUUAAUUUCUCA